AUGGCAGGCCCUAAAUUUAAAUUAGAAAAGGAUAUGAAAGACAGCAGAGGUCAACUUAGAAGACCAUCACAUGCGGAGGACAUAAAUUUAAGAGACAUUCUACAGGAAAUUCAAAAACUGGUGGAGAGACAGGAAGAGCAUCAAAGAGAAGCCCAACUGAAGUUAGAUAAACAAGCUUACCAACAAAAGGAGUUACACCAAGAAAUGCUUGAGAUGAAAAAAGAAAUCAAAGAAGACAUUGGAAUUCUGAAAAAGGAAAUGGAAAAAUCGCAUAAGGACAUUAACGAUCUGAAAGUAGAGAAUACUAAAAUAAUUAAAACUCAAGUGAAAUUACAGAAAAAACUUGAUGGGCUCGAAUUCAAAAACGAAAAGUUGGAAAAAAUGCAGGAGAAAAUUGAAUUAAAUGAAAAGGAAUUUCAAUUGCGAUUCCGAAACAUUCAAGAGGAAGCCAAUGAAAACUUAAGGAAAAUAAUUGUGAAACUGAUUUCAGAUCUUCUUCAGCAAGAUUUAGAGGUAAUAGACAAUGGAAUCGAUCAGGUAUACAGAAUCCAGACCAAUUUUUCCAGAAGAAAUAGAGCCCAUAGAGAUGUAAUUAUCCAUUUCGUAAAGAAAAAAACUCGGGAUGAAAUUCUGGUGAACAAUAAUCGAAAUCCAAUGUACUUUAAGGAAAAAAAGAUAAUAGUAUUAAAAGAAUUUCCUCAAGCAAUACUAAACAGAAGAAGAAAAUAUUUCUUCCUGAUUGAUGAGCUCAAAAGACUAAAAAUCCGCUUUAGAUGGGAAAGAAGUGAAGAGAUAAUGGUUACUUGGAAGGGAGAAAAGCACUGGCUGACCUCAGAGGAAAAGGCAAAGGACUUUUUUCAAAAUCUGAAACAAGAUAAGAAGGAAAACGUGCCUAUAACACCAAGCCCUCCCUCGGCGAAAAGAAAGAAACCAAAGAGAGCCAGACACAUGUCGCCUAAAGUCCCUGAUCUAAAUGCAAAAUUAAACCCAACAACAUCGGGCACAUCUGACGUGGGAGAUGAUAAUGAAGAUGAAACAGAAGAAAGGGAUGACGAGGAUAUAGAAUCAGAAGAAGAGGACAAAAUGGAAGAAGAAAACGUACCCCGAGCUCCAAGCGGUGCAGAAGGAACCGACUAUGGUGUUGAGUGA
rnacentral:lncRNA from 1 species